rnacentral:rRNA from 1 species
UAGGGAAUCUUCCACAAUGGACGAAAGUCUGAUGGAGCAACGCCGCGUGAGCGAUGAAGGCCUUCGGGUCGUAAAGCUCUGUUGUUAGGGAAGAACAAGUGCGAGAGUAACUGCUCGCGCCUUGACGGUACCUAACCAGAAAGCCACGGCUAACUACGUGCCAGCAGCCGCGGUAAUACGUAGGUGGCAAGCGUUGUCCGGAAUUAUUGGGCGUAAAGCGCGCGCAGGCGGUUUCUUAAGUCUGAUGUGAAAGCCCACGGCUCAACCGUGGAGGGUCAUUGGAAACUGGGGAACUUGAGUGCAGAAGAGGAAAGUGGAAUUCCACGUGUAGCGGUGAAAUGCGUAGAGAUGUGGAGGAACACCAGUGGCGAAGGCGACUUUCUGGUCUGUAACUGACGCUGAGGCGCGAAAGCGUGGGGAGCAAACAGGAUUAGAUACCCUGGUAGUCCACGCCGUAAACGAUGAGUGCUAAGUGUUAGAGGGUUUCCG